AUGAGGAAAUCUGCCAUUAAAUACAUCCAGACUGUCACAAUGGAAAUGAUCCUGACCCUCCUCUCCCUCUAUGUCCUGCCCUGUCUGUCCCAGACCAUCACUCAGACCCCCCACAUUCUCAUUGUCCCCCUAGAAGGGGCCGUGUCUCUGAAUUGCUCAGUUGUGGGAGCCUCAGACCCCUAUAUGUACUGGUACAAGCAGGAUGUAGGUAGGGGGGGGCUAGAACUCAUAGCAUUCUCCUUUGGGAAGGACUCGGCAGAAGAGCCGACAAUCCGUCACUUUCAGUCAAAGAGGAGCAGUGAAUCCGAUUUCAGUCUGAGCAGCAAAGAAGCAAAGGAGACAGAUGGUGGAAUUUACUAUUGUGCUUGGAGUCACACAGGGGAGCAAGUGAAGGGGGGGGCAUUACAAAAACCCGCACAGCUUUUUGCACCUGCCACACACUCCUGCGAGCCCUGA